CUGUUGGAUCAAAAUCUAACGGUUCACGUUUGGUAAUCAAAAGAAUCCUGAGCACAAGCUCAGAAGGGGAUCCAAUUCUUUUUUUAUUGCAUGUGCUAACCACUUUGGUUGGUGUAUGCAAGUUGACCUGUAAAAUAAUGGUUUAUUUGGGUUUUGGACAACCCACUUUUCCACCUCCAUCAGACACUAUCAUUACUUUCCAUUAUUAAAUCAAUUCUCACUUUCUUUUCACUUUUACAUACUCACCUUUCUCUCCCAUUUACAACCGGUCUCUCUCUCUCUCUCUCUCUCUCUCUGUGUCUCAUUUCCCUCACAUCUCAAUCUACCGCACCCGUAGCUCUCUCCUCUGCAACUCAUCUCUUCCUCUCGGCACUACCCAUGCAUCCAUCAUACCAUCUCCAAAACUUCCCAAACUCAACCAAAAAUCAGCUAAAGCCUCUGGGACUUGUUACCCACUGUUUGACCGUGAGAAACCUAGAGAAAAAAUAAAACUUCGUUGUGUAUCUCGACGAUCGCCUAUGGAAUAAUCACUCUUCCGACCAUGGAUUCCCGAGCAAAACCUGGCCAAACCUUGUUCGUUUGGUUGAGUUGAGCGUGUAGGAAGAUUUCCCACAACCCAUUAACCACAGAUUCGAGCUUGCAUGCUAAAUCCAUCAAGUUCAUGCAAAACUCGAUUUUGGCCGUGGCUUUUAAGCCAAUUUCCGGUCACCUCUGAACAAGUUUUGUUCCCCAAAGAGAUUUUCCGGCGAAGGACCACGGAAUUGCAGGCCAUUUUCCGGCCAAAUGCGACCACGGACGAGAACCCCAAUGGUAUAUUUCGUUAAUCACGUUAGGUGUUAGAAAUUGUACAAUGUUAGAAUAUGCAUGUUUGGUGGGAAAUUUUAUAAAAGAAUACUGUUGCUGUACUGUUUUUACAACAAGGACCAAACUGUAAAAAAUGUUGAACAUUUAGGGCUGUUUAGUAAUUCUAGGAAGUUGUCAGCAUCCUUGCAAUUACCUCUAGUUUUAGGGGCAAUUUUGUAAAAUGCGAAAAUUGGACAGAUUAUAAUUAAUCAGUCCAUUUUGGGUAUGAUUUAUGUUUAAGUACUUUGCUAAAGUCAACGUGACUUGGUAUGGGAACAAGCUUAUUUGGAUCAACAAACGACAAGGCUCUUUGAGGGUGAGCACGCUUUGGUUAUGUGAGUGGGUCUUUUUGUUUUUACGCGUGUGUGUGUAUAUAUAUAUGUGUAUAUGUAUAUGUGAUUUUUCUAAUAACUGUUUUUAUAUAUUUUGAUGUAAUAUGCCAUGUUUAGCUUUACAAGUAUACUUUUUGUACACCUUACGCUUUUAAUAUUAUUUGUGAGCAUAAACUUGUGGCAUGACAUUCUUGCAGAUCUACUCAUUAUUACAUGUUUUCACGGUGUCUCUUAGUUAUUUGUAUUGUCCUGGGUCAAGGACUAGCUUCAUGUGUAGUUCACAUGCACCGUUUACAUUCGGUUUGGAUCAAUUGGUAGGUGCCAUCCUGUCCUUUUGUCACAUCCCGGCCCAGGCCCCCACUACAUCCCGGGCUUCACUCCACUGUAACACGAUAUUGUCCGCUUUGGACCCCAACUACAGCCUGGCGGUUUUGUUUCUAGGAA